UACGAAGGGGGCUAGCGUUGCUCGGAAUCACUGGGCGUAAAGGGUGCGUAGGCGGGUCUUUAAGUCAGGGGUGAAAGCCCGGAGCUCAACUCCGGAAUUGCCUUUAAGACUGCAUCGCUCGAAUCAUGGAGAGGUGAGUGGAAUUCCGAGUGUAGAGGUGAAAUUCGUAGAUAUUCGGAAGAACACCAGUGGCGAAGGCGACUCACUGGACAUGUAUUGACGCUGAGGUGCGAAAGCGUGGGGAGCAAACAGG
rnacentral:rRNA from 1 species